rnacentral:rRNA from 1 species
ACUCCUACGGGAGGCAGCAGUGGGGAAUAUUGGACAAUGGGGGGAACCCUGAUCCAGCCAUGCCGCGUGUGUGAAGAAGGCCUUAUGGUUGUAAAGCACUUUAAGCGAGGAGGAGGCUACUGAGACUAAUACUCUUGGAUGGUGGACGUUACUCGCAGAAUAAGCACCGGCUAACUCUGUGCCAGCAGCCGCGGUAAUACAGAGGGUGCGAGCGUUAAUCGGAUUUACUGGGCGUAAAGCGUGCGUAGGCGGCUUUUAAGUCGGAUGUGAAAUCCCCGAGCUUAACUUGGGAAUUGCAUUCGAUACUGGGAAGCUAGAGUAUGGAGAGGAUGGUAGAAUUCCAGGUGUAGCGGUGAAAUGCGUAGAGAUCUGGAGGAAUACCGAUGGCGAAGGCAGCCAUCUGGCCUAAUACUGACGCUGAGGUACGAAAGCAUGGGAGCAAACAGGAUUAGAUACCCCUGGUAGCGACUGA